rnacentral:rRNA from 1 species
AGAGUUUGAUCCUGGCUCAGGAUGAACGCUAGCUACAGGCUUAACACAUGCAAGUCGAGGGGAAACGAUAGGGAAAGCUUGCUUUUCCUAGGCGUCGACCGGCGCACGGGUGAGUAACGCGUAUCCAACCUGCCCAUGUCUGGGGAAUAACCCGUCGAAAGGCGGACUAACUCCCCAUGGUCUCCGAUGAGGACAUCUGAAUUGGAGUAAAGCUUCGCGGACAUGGAUGGGGAUGCGUCUGAUUAGGUAGUAGGCGGGGUAACGGCCCACCUAGCCCACGAUCAGUAGGGGUUCUGAGAGGAAGGUCCCCCACAUUGGAACUGAGACACGGUCCAAACUCCUACGGGAGGCAGCAGUGAGGAAUAUUGGUCAAUGGACGAGAGUCUGAACCAGCCAAGUAGCGUGCAGGAUGACGGCCCUAUGGGUUGUAAACUGCUUUUAUAAGGGAAUAAAGUGAGUCUCGUGAGACUUUUUGCAUGUACCUUAUGAAUAAGGACCGGCUAAUUCCGUGCCAGCAGCCGCGGUAAUACGGAAGGUCCGGGCGUUAUCCGGAUUUAUUGGGUUUAAAGGGAGCGUAGGCCGUGAGGUAAGCGUGUUGUGAAAUGUAGGCGCCCAACGUCUGCACUGCAGCGCGAACUGCCCCACUUGAGUGCGCGCAACGCCGGCGGAACUCGUCGUGUAGCGGUGAAAUGCUUAGAUAUGACGAAGAACCCCGAUUGCGAAGGCAGCUGGCGGGAGCGUAACUGACGCUGAAGCUCGAAAGCGCGGGUAUCGAACAGGAUUAGAUACCCUGGUAGUCCGCGCGGUAAACGAUGGAUGCCCGCUGUUGGGCCAACUGGUUCAGCGGCCAAGCGAAAGCAUUAAGCAUCCCACCUGGGGAGUACGCCGGCAACGGUGAAACUCAAAGGAAUUGACGGGGGCCCG